UUUCCGUAGGUGAACCUGCGGAAGGAUCAUUAUUGAAAAAGACAAGACGCCCCGUUUUUUCGUAAAAUGGGUUCAAUACCCACAACCGUGUAUACCUUACCUUUUGUUGCUUUGGCAGGCCGCCUCCGGGCGUUGGCUUCGGCUGACAGCGCCUGCCAGAGGACCCAAACUCUGUGUUUAGUGAUGUCUGAGUAAUAUGUAAUAUUUUAAAACUUUCAACAACGGAUCUCUUGGUUCUG
rnacentral:misc_RNA from 1 species